AGCAUGGCUUGAAGGAGGAAGCAUGGUGGCGGAGGCUGCUGCAGUGGCUUCGCAGUGUAUUGGCUGAGAGGCAGUGGUCUUUAAACCACUGCUGUUGAGCUGACGUAGGAGUGCUGCAGACUUCCUGGAUCACAGACACCACAGAGACCGGUAAAUCUAGUUCAGUUCACGCAUGUAAAACACUGGGAGCGUCAGCGGACUGAGGGGUGCUUUCCCUGUUUGAGUGCUUUUGUUUUUCUUCAUCAGCAAAAAUAUGACGAGAAAACCUUAAACAUCUUGAUUCUGGUUGAUUCAAGUGUGUUGAUCUGCAGUCGUUUUCUAUAUUCUACACUGUUCGAGUUGCAAGUCUCCUCUCUAGCAAUAUUCCCUUUUAAUUCCAUAAAUAUAUACCCUGCAGAAAACAAGAUGCUGCCAGUUAUAAAGGGGAUAAUGGUCUGAAAACAGGAAGCUUAUGCAAGACAUUGAGUGAAUACAGCAACUCCCCACAACAGCUCAGGACAACUGAAGAUCAGCAGGCGUCCUUCGAUCCCUCCGCCAAGCCAAUCGUCAAUCAGGAACUCAAUAACCUGGCCAGUGGGGGCCACUGUAGCGCUGUGAGGCGACUAAAUACUUGACGAUUUUGUCCCAUAACCUGUGGGAGCUCCAGAGCCAAUGCAACGCUCCCGGAAGAAUUCCGAGUAAAGAUGAAUGACUUCACAUAGCCAGAAUAAGAACUUGAACUCCACAAACUGUAUUACUCCUUCUGAUCAACU